ensembl:lncRNA
UUUUUAAUUUACUUUUAUUUUAAGGAGGAUGGGGCUCCCGGAAGCUCACUCUUAUUCCACCGGAUGAAAGUGGGUACAAUGCCAAGAAUUUGAAGACGGCAACAAAUGGAUUUAAAGGAGUUCUUUACAUUGCUCCACUACAAAUAGAACUUGACACCACUGCUCUGCCACCUGAAUCUGAAUCUUUUAACGAAAUGCCAAAAGAGAAAUGCCAGAGAUGUGGAGUCAGUUAUCCACUACUGAUUCUGACUACACACAUAAAUACCUGUGUGACCAGUGAGGAUGCUGAACAGACUGGUGAUGAAGCUGAACAGACAAAUGAUGAUGCUGACCAGACCAGUGAUGAAGCUGAACAAACCAAACAAGCAACUUGCCCCAUAUGUCAAAAAGAAAUGUCUCUCGAUGUAAUAGAGAUUCACGCAAGUUUUUGCAUGGGUGACAGUAUACAACCUCCGGAAUUAAAUGUGUCUAUGGAAGAACCAUCUACAUCUGGAGUUUACGUGCCAUUAACGUAUACCGCUGAACCUUCAAAUGCAGCUAAAGCCACAAGCAUGAGUCAUGGUAUGUGUUUUUGUUUUUUAAGUUUUGAAAUAGAAUUGAUAAACGUAACACAUUUAGAGAUGUAG